GGCGCGGUGGCGGAAUUGGUAGACGCGCGGGAUUCAAAAUCCCGUUUGGAUAAUACCGAGUGAGGGUUCGAUUCCCUCCCGCGCCACCA
rnacentral:tRNA from 1 species